GGCAGCUGCUAAGUGGUCUCAGUCCCCAUCCAGGCAGCUUACUGUUCCUCCUGGCUGUACUGAUGUACCCCACCCAGGCCUGGAGCUUGUGUUUGCAGCCCCUGUCACUGCUAGACCCUCAUGACUGCUAUGGAGAGAACAUGCAAACAAAUGAGGAUGGAGACAGGAGCAGUUUCAGUGAGGUUAGCGUUAAGGCAAGCAUGAGCCCAGAUACUUCAGGACCUGGAUAGCCACAGCAUGCUGACCCUGACAAUGUAAUUCAUUAUUUCAAGAUUUCUGACACUGCUGACUUCCCUUCGCUACCUUUUACUGGUGUCAUUCAUUUGAUUGAAAAUUACAUUUUCUAUUACUUGAUGCAUCUCUGCCAUUGGGCAAAGGCAUUUUCUUUUUGUUCCUGAAGAAGAUAAACAACUCAAUUGUUUUGGUCACCCUCCAAAGAAUGUCUGACUACAGUCUAUUCCCACUUCUAGAAAAAAAACAGUAUCCUUAUUUUUAGAAUUUAUUCCUUUAAGGUAUGGUUUCUUUCUUUAAGGAAAUAAAAUA